UACGGAGGGUGCAAGCGUUGUCCGGAUUUAUUGGGUUUAAAGGGUGCGUAGGCGGCCCGUUAAGUCAGCGGUGAAAUCCCGGGGCUCAACCCCGGAACCGCCGUUGAUACUGGGGGGCUUGAGUAUGGACGAGGUUGGCGGAAUUGAGGGUGUAGCGGUGAAAUGCAUAGAUACCACCAAGAACCCCGAUUGCGUAGGCAGCUCGCUAGGCCGAAACUGACGCUGAGGCACGAAAGCGUGGGGAGCGAACAGG
rnacentral:rRNA from 1 species